rnacentral:rRNA from 1 species
GACGAACGCUGGCGGCGCGCUUAACACAUGCAAGUCGAACGGAAAGGCCUGCUUUCCCUUGUGGAUUGCGGGUACUCGAGUGGCGAACGGGUGAGUAACACGUGAGUGAUCUGCCCCCAACUUGGGUAUAAGCCUGGGAAACUGGGUCUAAUUCCCGAUAGGACUGCAGGGUGGUGCCUGUUGUGGAAAACGAUUUUCUAGUGGUUGGGGAUGAGCUCGCGGCCUAUCAGCUUGUUGGUGGGGUAAUGGCCUACCAAGGCGGCGACGGGUAGCCGGCCUGAGAGGGUGGACGGCAACAUUGCGAAGGAGAGACGGACCAGACUCCUACGGGAGGCAGCAGUGGGGAAUAUUGCACAAUGGGCGGAAGCCUGAUGCAGCGACGCCGCGUGGGGGAUGACGGCCUUCGGGUUGUAAACUCCUUUCGACCGCGAGGAAGCCACCUGGUUGGAAGGGUGGUGACGGUAGUGGUAGAAGAAGCACCGGCUAACUACGUG